rnacentral:lncRNA from 10 species
GGCAGCUCCUGCUCCACAGCAGGCUUCCUACUUUGACGCCUCACGCGCUCUUCAGCUCUCUUUUUCUGUGGGUCUCGCGGCUCUCCCCCUCUACAAUUACGAGUAGUGCCUUGAGCCGGGCGUUCGGAGACCCACACAGGAGGGACAGGAUGGGGAGAGCGGCAUUAAAGGGUGGUGACUCAGGAGUUCAAGACCAGCCUGGCCAACAUGACGAAACCCCGUCUCUACCAAAAAUACAAAAAUUAGCCAGGCAUGAUGGCGGACGCCUGUAAUCCCACCUACUCGGGCGGCUGAGGCAGGAGAAUCGCUUGAACCCGGGAGGCGGAGGUUGCAGUGAGGCGAGAUAGCGCCACUACACUCCAGCCUGGGCGACAGAGCGAGACUCCGUCUCAAAAUAAAAAUAAAAAAAAAAUAAAGGCGGGGUGGUGGUGGUGACAAGCCCCUAUUACGGCCUUAGUGCGGGAUUCCCCUUGGGGCGGGAGACGUCGUCCUUCCGGGUGCGGGUGCGGACUGCAAGUCCUAUCGGGGACCGCGACACCGGACUGCAUCCGCCAGCGUCCAGGGCGUAGCGCCCCCCAGGCGCUGCCUUCGUCCAUCUCUACGGGGAGUGGCGGCCAGAAGACUGGGUUUUCCCCGUGCAGCUGUGCCCCACGUUGGGGAAACUGACUUUUCAGAGUGCUUGGGGAGGAUGGUGGGAAGGAAUGAAGAGGACAAGGACAGACUCGUCUGCCUCAAUACAUCCACAUAGUGGACACCACUGUCUUUUGGGAAGCUUCCCCCUCUCUCAGGAGUACGUGAGUAAGUUGUUUCCCUGGCUACCUUCCUGGGGAACCAAAGUUUGCGGGGAAAGAACACAUCAAAGUGCUUGUUGCAAAGAAGAACCUCCUCUUUAUUCCACAUAUAGAAGCUGUGUUUCCAGAGCUGGGAAAGGGCUUCGACCUGGCCCUACCUCUGUGUGGGCCUAGAGAUGAAGGUCUAGGGCCGGGCGUGGUGGCUCACACCUGUAAUCCCAGCUACUUGGGAGGCUGAGGCAUGAGAUUUGCUUGAACCCGGGAGGCGGAGGUUGCGGUGAGCUGAGAUCGUGUCAUUGCACUCCAGCCUGGGCAAUAAGAGUGAAACACCGUCUCAAAAAA